UUUUCGCAAUGCCCGAAAGGGUGACGAAGCGACGCCGCGUGGGUGAGGAAGGCCCUCGGGUUGUAAAGCCCUGUCAGGAGUUAAGAAAUGUAGGUACGCUAAUAUCGUACUUAUUUGACAAAGGCUCCAAAGGAAGCCACGGCUAACUCUGUGCCAGCAGCCGCGGUAAUACAGAGGUGGCAAGCGUUGUUCGGAAUUAUUGGGCGUAAAGAGCACGUAGGUGGGUUUGUAAGUCAGAUGUGAAAGCCUUCUGUUCAACGGAAGAAUUGCAUCUGAAACUACAAACCUUGAGUGUAGGAGGGGAGAAUGGAACUUCUGGUGGAGCGGUGAAAUGCGUAGAUAUCAGAAGGAACGCCGGCGGCGAAAGCGAUUCUCUGGCCUAUUACUGACACUCAGUGUGCGAAAGCUAGGGGAGCAAACGGGAUUAGAUACCCCGGUAGUCCUAGCCGUAAACGAUGGGCACUAAGUAGAGGGGUUUUAA
rnacentral:rRNA from 1 species